UGAGGAAUAUUGCACAAUGGGGGCAACCCUGAUGCAGCGACGCCGCGUGGGUGAUGAAGGUUUUCGGAUCGUAAAGCCCUUUUCUGCAUGACGAGCACAGGACGGUAGUGCAGGAAUAAGUGUCGGCUAACUACGUGCCAGCAGCCGCGGUAAAACGUAGGACACAAGCGUUAUCCGGAAUUACUGGGCGUAAAGGGCGUGCAGGCGGUUGCGUAAGUUAGGCGUGAAAGACUUCGGCUAAACCGGGGGAGGUCGUCUGAUACUGCGCAACUAGAGUAUGGUAGAGGCGUGUAGAAUUCCGGGUGUAGUGGUGAAAUGCGUAGAGAUCCGGAGGAAUACCAGUGGCGAAGGCGGCACGCUGGGCCAUAACUGACGCUAAGACGCGAAAGCAUGGGUAGCGAACGGGAUUAGAUACCCAGGUAGUCCCUGAGCGGGCUGGCAAGGCGCAU
rnacentral:rRNA from 1 species